rnacentral:lncRNA from 1 species
AGUCUACAGUCGCAUUUGAAGAUGUCAAUAAAUGAGAGUCGUUAAGUGUAUACGGCUGCUUAUGCUAAAGCGUCGGUAAAUUAUAUUUCGAUGUUUUAAAGUGUCAGAAUUUUUUAAAAUCUUGACGAUUUAAAAUAUUAAAAAAUUAAAAAUAAUAGUGAACUUUAUCAUUCAAAUAAAUUGAUUUGAUAUAAUAGAAGGUUUAUAUGACAACACAUUUUGAAUGUUUGGUAUUUACUAUAUUGUAGGGAUGCUUGGGAAUGCUUCCUCCAAGUGUCAUUUGAAAAGUGUCCUUGUAAUAAGAUUUUAUUCUAAUGAGUGUAGUUAAAGAUGCAUACAGUUCGAAUUAUAACAGUUAUAAUUACAUGCAUUUUAUGUAGUUAGUUGUACAUUGUUGUAAGCGUUGUAGCAUAAUUAAUUUACUUGAUUGCAUACGGUUGAGAAGAAUAUUAUAAAAUUUGUUAUUUUAUAUAUUAGGUGGUGAGAUUACCUCUAUGUGAAGAAUAUAUAUAUAGAGUUGAGCUAGAAUACUCUCAAAAGCACCAAGGGGUGGUGUUUAACCAUUGGAUGGAGAGAUGUAAGGUUGAGGUGAUGGUGGUAGGUGAUGGUAGGUGGAAUAGUCUUUGAUCCAAGAGGUAUUAGAAUUAAGGAGUAGAUCCAAGGGCUAGAAACCUAGAAGCACCAUGGGCUUGGUGCUUUUAAAAGUAUUCUAGCUCAAUUUUAUAU